rnacentral:rRNA from 1 species
UACGAAGGGUGCAAGCGUUAAUCGGAAUUACUGGGCGUAAAGGGUGCGUAGGCGGUUCGUUAGGUCUGUCGUGAAAUCCCCGGGCUCAACCUGGGAAUGGCGAUGGAUACUGGCGAGCUAGAGUGUGUCAGAGGAUGGUGGAAUUCCCGGUGUAGCGGUGAAAUGCGUAGAGAUCGGGAGGAACAUCAGUGGCGAAGGCGGCCAUCUGGGACAACACUGACGCUGAAGCACGAAAGCGUGGGGAGCAAACAGG